rnacentral:rRNA from 1 species
AUUGAACGCUGGCGGAAUGCUUUACACAUGCAAGUCGAACGGUAGAGGGGCAACCCUUGAGAGUGGCGAACGGGUGAGUAAUGUAUCGGAACAUGCCCAGUCGUGGGGGAUAACGUAGCGAAAGUUACGCCAACACAGCAUACGAUCUAUGGAUGAACGCGGGGGAUCGCAAGAGCUCGCGCGCUUGGAGUGGCUGAGAUAAGAUUAGGUAGUUGGUGGGGUAAAGGCCUACCAAGCCGACGAUCUGUAGCGGGUCUGAGCGGACGACCAGCCACACUGGGACUGAGACACGGCCCAGACUCCUACGGGAGGCAGCAGUGGGGAAUUUUGGACAAUGGGCACAAGCCUGAUCCAGCCAUUCCGCGUGCAGGAAGAAGGCCUUCGGGUUGUAAACUGCUUUUGUACGGAACGAAACGGUGCUCUCUAAUACAGGGCGCUAAUGACGGUACCGUAAGAAUAAGCACCGGCUGACUACGUGCCAGCCGCCGCCGUAA